UACUCAGUGGGACUUUAAGCUUAACUGUAAUUUUAUUAUAAGGUUUCAGACUACUUUAAGUAAUUAUUUAUCUAGUUUGAUCUUGAAACUGUUGAUUUAGCCCAGCCUCACCUACUUUAUUAAUUUAUAAAAGUAUUAAUUUUUGUUAAAUCACUAGAAACAGCUGACUUCCUGGUUUUGCAGACAUACUGUUGUUGUUGUACUUGUAAUGCACUAACUAUGGGUAGUUGCUUAGCAACUGCUGCCUGGAUACUUUGUUUACUCUACUGUAGAUAGAAAUGUCAUUUAACUUUAAAGCAAAUAUGCUUCAUAGAAACUCUCUUAAAAGGAAAUUUGAGGUUAUAAUCUUUUAGAUUAUUCAUUUUUCCUUCUUUUCAUACUAAUUUUAUUUAUGAUCUUUUAUGUUUUAAUAGAAAUAUUGGCUUUCGUUUCCUUACAGUCUAAAGUUCACAGCUUCCACAACUCCACAGUUUUUAGUGAGAAGCUGGGUUCACAUUUAUUUGUGUGGAGUUCACAUAUCCUCACAUUUUUGUGUGUGCACUUCAACAUCUAUUUUUGUGAAGUCUGGGAGGUAUAAAUACCCCACUCUGCCUGUUUUCAGGGUUCACAAUCUUAAAUCUCUGGCCUUGAGCGGCUGUUAUAGUCAGAUAAUUUUAAAGAAAUAUUUAAAAUAGUCUAGCAAAUUUUAUACAAAGAUAGUCAUACUUGGUGUAUUUUUUUACCUGCUGUAUUUUAAUAUUUUAACUUUUGAUAAGCAUUUUUAAACUCUUAGCUGAAUAAAACUGCUAUUUUUCAUUGGAUCAACUUUAAAUUUUAACUGUUGCUCUGAGUUGUUUAUUAGAAGCUUACUGACAGUUAUCAAAAUUAUCAGAGGCUGGGCUUGAUUAUUAUCUUUAAUGAAUAAUAGACCUUAAGUAAAAAUACCAUAAUAUCACACUAUUCUUGAGAACUGUGAAUUAUUUACAGAAUUAUUGUGUGAGUUUUUUUUUAAUGAUGUUUGUUGCUGAACAUGAACUGUUUCUGUUGAAAUUCUUACUUCAAUAAACUAUAGUUUAACUGUCAAA
rnacentral:lncRNA from 1 species